GUUCUAUCUAUAUUUCAGACCAAGUCCUGAGACCAAUCUCGAGAUGCAGAGGCCGUGUGCAGCAAACACCGAUGAGUUCCCGCCGGCCCCGCCCAGGCACGCUUAAUGGACGAGUCAGCUGAGUUAUGGCGGCUCGAGGUGAGAACGUGUACCUUGCAGGACGUCUAAACUGCACAAAAUCAUUUAGAUAAGAGUUGGCGAGAAAACAACGAAGAGCAACGCGCCACACGCCGGCCGAGCGACAAAAACGACACAAACAAACAAACAACGUCGAAACUUUUAAAUGGAACGCGGGAGAAUUCGACGCGUUAACUAUGCCGAUACUGGGAAGGACGCGACAUCGGUAAGUCACGUCACCAAAUAAAUGACACCGGGGUUAAAAUAAAUAUAUAAAUAUUUGUAAAUAAAGAAAAUAAUGCGCCGGGGAGCCGAAAUGCUUUAAAUAUUCAAAUGAAGCGAGUGGAGGUGAAAUACGAAGGUGCGCUGGCCGAGUAGAGGCCAAUUAAAUCGGUGCCACUGAGGUAGAAAUUAAAAACAAAAGGAGGAUGACGCGGGUCCGGCGCGCAUUUUUCUCAUGAGUAUUAUUAGCGCGAUGUCAACCCACAAAAAAUGGACUGUUCGCUCGUCCCCGCGAUCAUUAUCGAGAACAGCCUCAGUUUUGUAUAUUGUGUUUUUGAUAAGUUUGAUGAUGUUUAACUUGGACAUUUUGUUGACAUUUCCACUUGGGUCGGAAUGCAAAUAAAGCUGAGAUUAAUAUUCAUUAUGUUUGAAGUAUGUUACUGAGCUGGCUUAAGAUUUAAUGGGUUGUUUAGUAUUUUAUGUUCAAUGCACUUUGCCUGUUCGUCCU